UUGCGCAAGCACUGUUUAUUGACGCAAUCUUCGCAAUCAUCUGCCGGGCGCUGACGGGUAUCUUUAUCAACAGAAUCACCGCCUGGACAACAGUCCACUUGCAGCGAGCCCAAUCAGGCCCGCUGCGGCCGCCACCCCAGCAGGGUUGAGCCGGCCUCCAGGCUGCACACUGUCCACAAGACGGCGUGAGGUGAGCCAACGCCAAAAGCGUUGAGCCAGGACGAAAUUCUCAAGGGGUGGCCGACGGGUCACCCC
rnacentral:sRNA from 1 species